GGAGAGCUGGCUCAGGGGUAGAGCACUUGUCUUGUACACAUGAGGCACUGGGUUCAAUCCUCAGCACCA
rnacentral:tRNA from 1 species